rnacentral:RNase_P_RNA from 1 species
GCGGAGGGCUGGAUGACCGCGGCGGCCCAUAGCUCCGUUUUGCGGAUAGCUGGGCGGUCGAGGAAAGUCCGGACUCCCUGAAGCAACGGUGCCGGGUAACGCCCGGCGGGGGCAACCCCAGGGAAAGCGCCACAGAGAAGAGACCGCCCUCGCUUGCGGGGGCAAGGGUGAAACGGUGGGGUAAGAGCCCACCGCGGGACUGGCAACAGGACCGGCACGGCAAGCCCCACCGGGAGCAACGCCGAAUAGGGAUCGCGCGCCGCAUCCGGCAACGGAGACGGCAGGGGAGCUUCGCCCCGAGCGGUCCGGGUUGGCGGCUUGAGGCUGCGGGUGACCGCAGACCCAGAGGAAUGGUCAUCCAGGGGGGCGACCCCCGGACAGAAUCCGGCUUACAGGCCCUCCGCGCAU